rnacentral:lncRNA from 1 species
UGAAAGUAAAUAUUCAAUGCGAAAAUUAAUCCAAUACAGGACCUACAGAGAAAGUCAUCAAUACAAAAGAAAAAGGCAGCAAAAUAGAUGAAAAAACUCAGCAAGAUGAAAGGAAACUUACCAAUGAAGCUGAGAAGAGGAGGGGCAAAGGGGUUGAAAAUGAAAACAAAACCAAAAGCGCAUAAUAAGAAGCAUGGACAAUGGACUCGAAAAAACAGAAGAAAGAAUAUCAGGAUGGAGAGGAGAGGAGAAAUAAUACAUAUAGGCACCAAUAAGCAAAAAGUAAAUUAUCAUAACCACAAUGUUCAAGGAAGACCAAACCCAAGAACCCACAGGACUAGUGAAGUAAACACCAAAGGUACAGCAUUUCCAUUCAACAUUAAGGCAGAAGCUUCCCCAAGCCCAGAAGAAGAAACAAACAUUCAAACAUAAGUGACAUUCAAAAUCCCAAACUAACGAAAUCAGGGAAGAACCUCUCCAUGACAUCUUAUAGUCAAGAUGUCAAAGAUACAAAGCAAAGAAACAGUAUUAGAUGCUAUAUAAGGAAAACACCAACUCACCUACAAAAGCAAAGCACCAGAGUACUAUCAGCAACCGUGAACCAAGAAAUCAUGAAAUGAUGUAAUUCAAGUCUCAAAAGCAGGUAAUUGCUAGUCAAGACUACUAUGCAAGCAAAGUGGUCUUCUGAAUUUGAAAACAAAUAAGGACAUUUCAACAUAACCACACUGAAGGAGUCCCUGACCACCAAGCCAGCACUGCAGAAGACACUAAAGGAAUACUGCAAGCAAAAGAAGAAAUUUCAAUCACAUGGCCACACAGGAAAGAAUAGAUUUAAUGAACAGGCUAGCUGAACAAAGGAGAGCUGGAAGGAGCCCGUUAUAUCCAACAAAGUAAACCAGAUACUAAUGUGGGACAAUAUAAAGAACAAACAAUAAUCCAACCAACAAAAAUGACAAAAAAUUGUCGAUAUUUUUCAAUGAUAAUCUACAAGUAAUGGCCUCAACUUGACAAAAAAACAAACAAACAAACAAACAAACAAAAAACGGAGAUGCAAACUGAUUGACUGGAUUAAAAACUGCAAAGGAACUUCCAUGGAGAACAGUGGAAGGCCACCACUUGACAGAGGUGACUAGGAAGAAUGUGGAGGACUAGGGGCUGUGAAAUACUCUGUAUGGUAUUUCAGUGAGGUCAUUACAUAUUUGUCAAUACUUACCAAAUGUAAGGCACAAAAUAUGAACCCCAGUUUGGUAUAGUGGGCACACAUACAACUGCAGCAUUUGGAAGACUAUUGGGAGGGCAAGUUGAAAGGUAGCCUGAUUUAAUAAAGAAGAACAAGGAAGAAAUAAUGAACACUAAUGUGAAGUGUAGACUUUGGGUGAGAAUGUGUCACUGUGGACUGUACCACACACAGCACUGUAAUGGAAAAAUGUUGAUGAUGGGAGAGGCUUACACGUGAUGGGCAAAGGGAGCAAUGAAACCUCUCAACAUUCUUAUAAAUUUCAAGCUCUAAAUAGUUUUGAAUCAGGGUUUCUUUGUGUAUCGCUGCCUGUCUUGGACCUAGCUCUAUAGACCACACUGGCCUCAAACUCACAGAGAUCCAUCUGUAUCUGCCUCCCAAGUGCUGGGAGUAAAGACAUGUCACCACCCAGCAACUAAAUCAUUCUUAUAAAAUGAAAAUACAAUCUAUUCAUAUAUUUAAGGGGAAAAAUCUAGAUCCAACUCUAUGCUCUCUCCAAGAAACACACCCUCACUGAUAAAAAUCAAAAGUUGGAAAACAUUCUUUUUUCUGCUUCAAAGAUGCUUAAUUUCUUUUUUUUAUUUUUAUUUUUUAU